rnacentral:rRNA from 1 species
GACGAACGCUGGCGGCGUGCUUAACACAUGCAAGUCGAACGGAAAGGCCCUGCUUUUGUGGGGUGCUCGAGUGGCGAACGGGUGAGUAACAAGUGAGUAACCUGCCCUUGACUUUGGGAUAACUUCAGGAAACUGGGGCUAAUAUCGGAUAGGAGCUCCUGCUGCAUGGUGGGGGUUGGAAAGUUUCGGCGGGUGGGGAUGGACUCGCGGCUUAUCAGCUUGUUGGUGGGGUAGUGGCUUACCAAGGCUUUGACGGGUAGCCGGCCUGAGAGGGUGACCGGCCACAUUGGGACUGAGAUACGGCCCAGACUCCUACGGGAGGCAGCAGUGGGGAAUAUUGCACAAUGGGCGGAAGCCUGAUGCAGCAACGCCGCGUGCGGGAUGACGGCCUUCGGGUUGUAAACCGCUUUCGCCUGUGACGAAGCGUGAGUGACGGUAAUGGGUAAAGAAGCACCGGCUAACUACGUG